rnacentral:tRNA from 1 species
GUGGUCGUAGCUCAGUUGGUAGAGCCCCGGAUUGUGAUUCCGGUUGUCGUGGGUUCGAAUCCAUCGAUCACCCCA